GACAAGGUCACAUGUGACUAUGCACGGAUGUACCCAGGAGUGAAGAACACUAGCAUAAGAUGGCCUUUGUGGCCUAUGACAGGGCUACCACUGUUCCUGGCAUUGACACUCUGGGGCCACCUUCACAGGGAGGGCACCACCCUGUACCACAGGCGGCCCCGCCCCCUAGACAGUUUGAUAGUGUUGACAAAAGCUUAACUGGAGGAGCCCAGCUAGAAUGGCUCCUAGGAAUGGCUAGCAAUUCCUGCAGCCACCUAAGUGACCCUUCCCUGUCCUCCACAGCCACCUCCCAAGCUGCCCAGUGGUGUGUUCAGCUCAGACUUCCAGGAGUUUGUGAAUAAAUGUCUCAUUAAGAACCCAGCAGAGCGUGCAGACCUCAAGCUGCUGACGAACCAUGCCUUCAUCAAACGCUCUGAGGGGGAGGACGUGGACUUCGCUGGCUGGCUAUGCAGAACCCUGCGGCUGAAGCAGCCCAGCACACCCACGCGUACUGCAGUGUGACAGCCAUCGCUCAGCAGUCUGUGUCCUUGUCCCUGUGGGCACAGCGGCCGCCUUUGGGGACAGCAGUGGUGUGUGUUGUGGCAGGGGACCUGUGCCUGUGCAUUUGGAAAAGCAAACAAAGUGGAGAAAGAGAG
rnacentral:lncRNA from 1 species